rnacentral:rRNA from 1 species
GACGAACGCUGGCGGCGUGCUUAACACAUGCAAGUCGAACGGAAAGGCCCUGCUUUUGUGGGGUGCUCGAGUGGCGAACGGGUGAGUAACACGUGAGUAACCUGCCCUUGACUUUGGGAUAACUUCAGGAAACUGGGGCUAAUACCGGAUAGGAGCUCCUGCUGCAUGGUGGGGGUUGGAAAGUUUCGGCGGUUGGGGAUGGACUCGCGGCUUAUCAGCUUGUUGGUGGGGUAGUGGCUUACCAAGGCCUUGACGGGUAGCCGGCCUGAGAGGGUGACCGGCCACAUUGGGACUGAGAUACGGCCCAGACUCCUACGGGAGGCAGCAGUGGGGAGUAUUGCACAAUGGGCGGAAGCCUGAUGCAGCAACGCCGCGUGCGGGAUGACGGCCUUCGGGUUGUAAACCGCUUUCGCCUGUGACGAAGCGUGAGUGACGGUAAUGGGUAAAGAAGCACCGGCUAACUACGUG